rnacentral:rRNA from 1 species
UACGAAGGGGGCUAGCGUUGUUCGGAAUUACUGGGCGUAAAGCGCACGUAGGCGGAUACUUAAGUUAGGGGUGAAAUCCCGGGGCUCAACUCCAGAACUGCCUUUGAUACUGAAAGUCUUGAGUAUGGGAGAGGUGAGUGGAACUGCGAGUGUAGAGGUGAAAUUCGUAGAUAUUCGCAAGAACACCAGUGGCGAAGGCGGCUCACUGGCUCGGUACUGAACGCUGAGGCGCGAAAGCGUGGGGAGCAAACAGG